GAAUGUGAGGGCGAUCUGGCUGUGACAUCUGUCACCCCAUUGAUCACCAAGGCUGACUCAGCUGAUCUGGCUGGCGAGGCGGGUAUCCCCUUCCUCCCUCACCACUCCAUGUGCAUCCCUCCUGAAGUGACACACUCAGUCUAAGAGGACGGCCUUCCCCAAAUAGAGAUGGACUGGUCUUUGGCCAAGGGUAUACAAGUAGCUGUGCUUCCCUGCUAGAACUUCUGAACAAGCUCUUAAGAAACCUGCAAUUGCUUUUGAGUAGAGAAUCAGAGAUUAUAGGUUUCAAGCUGUUUUUCUCUGACUACACCAAUGUUUUAAAAUAAAUAAUGUCCAAUGUGUGUCCAU
rfam:Erinaceus europaeus unplaced genomic scaffold scaffold01331, whole genome shotgun sequence